ACAACAUUCGGAUCGUUUGUCUACUUUGCAAUAUCACCCACUGGGUGAAAGAUCUUCCUUUCGUCGU
rnacentral:pre_miRNA from 1 species